rnacentral:lncRNA from 1 species
GGGAGUGAGUGAGCUAGUGAGCCAAAAGUCAGUGCGUGCCGAGUCCCCGGGAGGAGGGUCCCCAGGGAGGGCCCGGUCUGGGCCUCAGGAGCCGCCCCCUCAGCCACUCCAUCUCCUCACGCCCCUGUGGCUCCCUGCCCAUUUCCUGCCCCCAAGGUCCUCCUGGGCCUUCCAGACCCCGGCGGCAGUUACCUGUCCCCUCCCCCACGCGGCAUGCACCUCCCCUUUCCUGCGGCCACCUCGGACCCCGGACGCUCCGCUGCCGGCGCUCUCUUCCCUCUGCUCUUCCCCUCUGCGAGCGAGUGGGAUGAGGGACGCUGAGCCUCGGGGGUGGCGCGAGCCGGGGCCCGGGCGCCUAGACAAUAGUUGAUGCCCAGGGACGGGGCACCUCCGCCCCCUGUUCCGGAGCGCGGCCCCCACCGACUACUUGCAGCCUGCAUUCCGGGGCCCCCUCAGAGCCAGGCUCGGGAGUUGGGCUUAUUCUGCCUCCGCCUCCCCCGCGUCCCCUUGAGGGACGCUGAGCCUCGGGGGUGGCGCGAGCCGGGGCCCGGGCGCCUAGACAAUAGUUGAUGCCCAGGGACGGGGCACCUCCGCCCCCUGUUCCGGAGCGCGGCCCCCACCGACUACUUGCAGCCUGCAUUCCGGGGCCCCCUCAGAGCCAGGCUCGGGAGUUGGGCUUAUUCUGCCUCCGCCUCCCCCGCGUCCCCUGUCCCCUACGGACGCGCCCGGGACUCGAGGCUGCCUUGGGAGGCCGGACUGAGCGAUUUAUGUCAGCAUUGCUCAUUCUUGCUGAUGGAUUCUUUGAGCCCACAUUCAUUUUUUGUGAGGAUGUUUACAAAAUGCACCAUUGGAUGCUGUAUUGUCUAAGUAAGUGUUGUCUAUUUUUUAUAGCUAUCAAAUCAUUUUGAUCCAGUUGUAUUUGCUUAGCUAUUUAUACAUUAAUACAUUUAAAAAGAAAUUUCUUGAAGCAGCAUUAAUCAUUCAUUAUUUGAUCAGAUGAUGGCACUGGCACCUUAUUGUGUAAUCACAAAAUAGCUAAUUUUGUCAUGUUUAAUGUCAUGAGCAGAUGCACGUCCUAUAAAAGUAACAUGCAGAGCUCAAAUCUAAAUUAAUUAUUUUAUGCUAUAAAAAUCGUGUGUUUGUGAUUUGAAAAAAUUUAGUUUGCAUUGUGUCACAUUUUCAAAAAUGUCUGUGAUUGCUGCAACAAGGAAACAGUAAAAACUCUGACCC